AUGUGAUAGGGUUUACUUCUGGCCAACAUUGAACUCUCCAUCUCUACUCACCUUUUCAAUUUUCACUUUGUUAUUCGUUCUCUCCAUCAUAGUAAUGAAGUUGUUGGAUUGAAGUUCCAAUUUCUCUGCUUCUCAGGGGAAGAAAGUGAUAAGCUAGGUCAUCGAAAUGAUGACGAAGCUGAUGAAGGUUGCCUAGAAUUGGAAGAAAUUCCAACCAGAACACAUACAACUUUUCCCCCAAAAGUCCAACUGCGUAAAUUUAUUACAUACCCAUAACCGAUCUGUUUGUUCUAUGUGUUCCAUGUUAUUUGUGUGCAUGCAUAUACAAAAAUGAAGGGCAAAAAAUUAGUGUACUAGAAGUAACAAGGUAUGAUUAUGAUUUCUCAAUGAUUAGUUGACUUGAGAAAGAUUUUAUAUAUAGGACUUAAUUGGAGUGUAUUAUUCCUCAACACAUGCACUUUUAAUGAGAAGGUUUAAUUAUAUCCUGCAGAUUGAUGCAUUUGUGGGUUGCACAUUAAUUCCUAAUUAAUUAAUGAAAGUUGCUAUGGUUUUUCUUUUUCUUCUCCUAGAUUGAUUUUUAAAGCUAGCUAAAAGGAGCUCAAACGCUGAUGGAGAAUGUGGUUUUAUUUUAAAGUUUUUUCACUUGAGAGGUUUUUUCCAUGAUUUACAUUCACAUGUAAUUGAAUUUUUGGAUCGGUAUAUGAUACAAAUUAGGUCAUCAUCUUGAGCUAGAAAAAAGUGCUUAAGUUGAAAGAUUAGUCAAGUCCUUACACUCACUUCUUGCCAAUCUCUUACUAUAUUUAGAAGGAUAAAAAGCUUAGCAAGGAACAUGCAUGUGUGGACUUUGAGCUUGACCACUGAUCACAUUGAGUUUACAUCUGGAAGAAAAACUUUGAUGCCGCUGUUGAGAUAUAAAUCAUUUAUAUCACAUUUUAGUUCACACGGUUAGUGAGUCAGAGUUAGUUAGGAAAGUUGUUAGUUAGUUAAUAGCUUAAAGUGUGUGUAUAUAAUGAUCAAUUGUAAUGUUCAGUUCUCUCAAUUUUUACAUUCAAUGAAAUAUAAUUUUC